rnacentral:rRNA from 1 species
AACGAACGCUGGCGGCAUGCCUAACACAUGCAAGUCGAACGCCUGUAGCAAUACAGGAGUGGCGCACGGGUGAGUAACGCGUGGGAACCUGCCCUGGAGUGGGGGAUAACCGAGAGAAAUUUCGGCUAAUACCGCAUACGUCCUGAGGGAGAAAGAUUUAUCGCUCUAGGAGGGGCCCGCGUCGGAUUAGCUAGUUGGUGGGGUAACGGCCUACCAAGGCAACGAUCCGUAGCNGGUCUGAGAGGAUGAUCAGCCACACUGGGACUGAGACACGGCCCAGACUCCUACGGGAGGCAGCAGUGGGGAAUAUUGGACAAUGGGGGAAACCCUGAUCCAGCAAUGCCGCGUGAGUGAUGAAGGCCUUAGGGUUGUAAAGCUCUUUCGGCGGGGACGAUGAUGACGGUACCCGCAGAAG